rnacentral:lncRNA from 1 species
CUUUUUGAAAGGAACUAUUUGAUCUUUGCAGAGGACCAAUUCUUUGCUAAAUUUGACACCCAUUACUUCAUCUUCCUCUCGACCAAAGCGGAAAUACAUCUAUUCAUGCCAACCUGUCCGUAAACCUUUCGUCCCUGGAGGUAAUCAUUUUCCACAACAAUGAUGCCAUCGAUAGGAUCCACAUGAUCUAGAUGAUCAAUGAAAUCUCGUUUGCCCAGGCGUGGUCUUUUUGAAUACCUUAAUGGCUACGACGAAAGCCAAAAACAAGAUAGGGAACAUUUGGCACUUUUUUUCUACUCAAGCUGCUUAGUGAAGGUUUGUGUCCAAACCAGAAGUGACAAUUCCAAACGUCUCGGUGGUGCCUUCAUAUACCCUUUCCCAGGGGCUUCACAACUUGAAGCCAUAUUACUAAUUACAUUAUUUCAUUAUGUAAUUUACUUAAUAAGAUUUAUAAUGCACAUCUAGUUAUAACUUUGUUACGUCUUUUGUAUCAUAUUCAGUAAUUCAGUGAUGCAGAUUGCUUUGCUGUUAGAAGAAUGAUGGUACAUUAGUAUCAUAAGUGAAAGAUUUUGUCUCAUAUAUUUUCUGGUGUGCUAAUAGUUUUAUUUUAUAGUUUUUUUUAUACGUGCUUCAUAAUAAUGUGUUUUAAUUUUAAUAACAUCUACGAAUGAUGACAUUAUUUCUCAAUCUCAUGAUUAAUAAAUUUUUAUACAAAACUAUGAGAAGAGAAGCUUUUGCAAAAAUAGACUUAGUAUUUCAUGUUACAUUCUAUUAUAAGAAUAGGAGAUGGUGUAUAAAGAAACAUUUUUAUAGGGAAGAAAAAAAAUUUUAAAGAAUACUAAGAAAUCUUUAUUUCGUAUUGUUAUUAUUAUCGUCAUCAUUAUUCACAAUGGUUUGUACGAUCUGACAAUGUAUGUAUUGUUACAGCUCGUUAUAUUCUUAUUACAAAUAAAGAGUGUUUAUAUACUAGAUAAAGAUAUAGGCAUAUGUAAAAAGAAA